AACGCACAUUGCGCCCGAGGUCUAGGCCAAGGGCAUGGCUGGCUCAGCGUCGACGCACCCUCUCGCCCGAUCGUGGCGGAUCGUGGUUCCCCCGACCCGGAGACGGGAUCGGGCGAACUGAAACGGACGUCCCUCCAAGCCUGGACUCCUGUGAUCCGGAGGCAGCACGGUAGGCCGCUUUGACCGGCGGCUCUGCCGGGUUCUGCCGCAUCCGGGACAGGAGAGGCGGGUGUGGAGGAGCGCAGGAAAGCAGCAUCGACAUUCGACCUGAGCUCAGGCAAGAGCACCCGCUGAACUUAA
rnacentral:misc_RNA from 1 species